UAAACGAUGAGUGCUAAGUGUUAGGGGGUUUCCCCCCUUAGUGCUGCAGCUAACGCAUUAAGCACUCCGCUGGGGAGUACGACCGCAAGGUUGAAACUCAAAGGAAUUGACGGGGGCCCGCACAAGCGGUGGAGCAUGUGGCUUAAUUCGAAGCAACGCGAAGAACCUUACCAGGUCUUGACAUCCUUUGACCACUCUAGAGAUAGAGCUUUCCCUUCGGGGACAAAGUGACAGGUGGUGCAUGGUUGUCGUCAGCUCGUGUCGUGAGAUGUUGGGUUAAGUCCCGCAACGAGCGCAACCCUUAUUGUUAGUUGCCAUCAUUCAGUUGGGCACUCUAGCGAGACUGCCGGUGACAAACCGGAGGAAGGUGGGGAUGACGUCAAAUCAUCAUGCCCCUUAUGACCUGGGCUACACACGUGCUACAAUGGGAAGUACAACGAGUCGCUAGGCCGCGAGGUCAUGCAAAUCUCUUAAAGCUUCUCUCAGUUCGGAUUGCAGGCUGCAACCCGCCUGCAUGAAGCCGGAAUCGCUAGUAAUCGCGGAUCAGCACGCCGCGGUGAAUACGUUCCCGGGCCUUGUACACACCGCCCGUCACACCACGAAAGUUUGUAACACCCAAAGUCGGUGAGGUAACCUUUUGGAGCCAGCCGCCUAAGGUGGGAUAGAUGAUUGGGGUGAAGUCGUAACAAGGUAACCA
rnacentral:rRNA from 1 species